ensembl:lncRNA
UCCAACACUAACAUUUAAAAAAAAUCUAUUAGAUGUCAUUUUCAUCCAUAAUAAGUCGGUUUAAUGUUAUUAAAACGUCCUCAAAUGAAGUUCCUGUUAUCACUUACGCUGUAACAGUAAUAAACAGCCAUUUCCUCGCUCUGUAUCCUCUUGUUUUGUCUCUCUCUCUUAAAGGUUUUUUUUUUUUGCUUUUAAUAUGAAUAUGUCAGCCUUGAGGUUAUCUAGAAGCUCGUGCGCUCCAAAACAAUGACAAGACUCGCAUUCAGAAGAAUAUAUGCAUUGAAAAUGUACACUCUCUCUAUCACCGAUACGGAGCAACAAUUUUGAAGACAUCAUUCUGCACUUCAGCUUCUCGUCAGAUUUUCUGUCCAAUCAAAUGCUUUCGAGAAUCUAUAGUGUCCCGCCCAGGACGUUAUACAGAUCACUUUGCCGACGUUGCCGUUGUUGAGCGAGAGAACUCAUAUCAGCAGAGCAUGUGUCGUAAACGUGUCUUGGGCUGUUCGAACGCGUGCGUUUUAUUCAGUUUUCCAACUGUACGUUGGUUAAGAAGUGAUUCCAACGCAUCCUUGUUACUCGGGCUCGCGUCCAUGGUGCUAACCGUUGUGGCUAUGAGAUAAGAUAAACACUAUUGGCUGUUUUAAAAGGGGGAGGAGCCACUCGAUAUGUCCCUAUCUGGCUUCCUGUUUCAGUGGAAAUGACAUAAACGAGCACAUUAAUAAACAAGAACGUCAAUAAAACCUUGCACGAGCCAAGAGCUGCUGUUAUAGAAAAUGAAUUAACAUCUACUGACCAAUCAGAAUCGAGCAUUCAACAGCGCUGUGGUUAGGGCUGCAUGAUUAUGGUCAAAAUGAUAAUCACGAUUAUUUUGAUCGGUAUUGGGAUCACGAUUCAUUGAUUUUGAUUGCACUUUCACGUUUAAAUAAACAGACCGCUGCUUUCACCUCCAUGUUGUGCUACACUCCUGCUAAUGUACAAAUCUUUGCAUCAAAUUAGACCGGUCCUUAAAGUGCAUCGUCUCCAUCCAUCCAUCCAUCCAUCUUCUAUACCGCUCUAUCCUUUUUCAGGGUCACGGGGAACCUGGAGCCUAUCCCAGGGAGCAUCGGGCACAAGGCGGGGUACACCCUGGACAGGCUCCAGGUUCCCCACUGACCAUGUGUAGGAUAAAUGGUACAGAAAAUGGAUGUAUGGAUGCAUUCUACACCUAAAUCUAAUUACAACCAAAACGAAACGUUUG